rnacentral:tRNA from 1 species
GCCGGUUUGGCGGAGUAGCUUACGCGAAGGACUGCAGAUCCUUUCCACAGGGGUGCAAUUCCCCUAGCCGGCUCCA